UGAGCGUUGGCUCUGGAUCUCCAGUAUCUGUUUGUAGUCAAGUUGAAUGAAAGAUAUGGAGUAGAUUCAAGAAAAAAUGGAAGUUUGGGAAA
rnacentral:ribozyme from 1 species